rnacentral:rRNA from 1 species
ACGCUCGACACCUACGGGAGGCAGCAGUGGGGAAUAUUGCACAAUGGGGGAAACCCUGAUGCAGCGACGCCGCGUGAGCGAAGAAGUAUUUCGGUAUGUAAAGCUCUAUCAGCAGGGAAGAAGAAAGACGGUACCUGACUAAGAAGCCCCGGCUAACUACGUGCCAGUAGCCGCGGUAAUCGUGAGGCCGGGGCUGGCAAGGC